rnacentral:rRNA from 1 species
AGCGAACGCUGGCGGCAGGCCUAACACAUGCAAGUCGAACGAACCCUUCGGGGUUAGUGGCGGACGGGUGAGUAACACGUGGGAACGUGCCUUUAGGUUCGGAAUAACUCAGGGAAACUUGUGCUAAUACCGAAUGUGCCCUUCGGGGGAAAGAUUUCUCGCCUUUAGAGCGGCCCGCGUCUGAUUAGCUAGUUGGUGAGGUAAUGGCUCAACAAGGCUACGAUCAGUAGCUGGUCUGAGAGGCUGACCAGCCACAUUGGGACUGCGACACGGCCCAAACUCCUACGGGAGGCAGCAGUGGGGAAUCUUGCGCAAUGGGCGAAAGCCUGACGCAGCCAUGCCGCGUGGAUGAUGAAGGUCUUAGGAUUGUAAAAUCCUUUCACCGGUGAAGAUAAUGACUGUAGCCGGAGAAGAAGCCCCGGCUAACUUCGUGCCAGCCGCCGCCGUAAAAC